GAUGAACGCUGGCGGCGUGCCUAAUACAUGCAAGUCGAGCGAACGGACGAGAAGCUUGCUUUUCUGAUGUUAGCGGCGGACGGGUGAGUAACACGUGGAUAACCUACCUAUAAGACUGGGAUAACUUCGGGAAACCAGAGCUAAUACCGGAUAAUAUUUUGAACCGCAUGGUUCAAAAGUGAAAGACGGUCUUGCUGUCACUUAUAGAUGGAUCCGCGCUGCAUUAGCUAGUUGGUAAGGUAACGGCUUACCAAGGCAACGAUGCAUAGCCGACCUGAGAGGGCGAUCGGCCACACUGGAACUGAGACACGGUCCAGACUCCUACGGGAGGCAGCAGUAGGGAAUCUUCCGCAAUGGGCGAAAGCCUGACGGAGCAACGCCGCGUGAGUGAUGAAGGUCUUCGGAUCGUAAAACUCUGUUAUUAGGGAAGAACAUAUGUGUAAGUAACUGUGCACAUCUUGACGGUACCUAAUCAGAAAGCCACGGCUAACUACGUGCCAGCAGCCGCGGUAAUACGUAGGUGGCAAGCGUUAUCCGGAAUUAUUGGGCGUAAAGCGCGCGUAGGCGGUUUUUUAAGUCUGAUGUGAAAGCCCACGGCUCAACCGUGGAGGGUCAUUGGAAACUGGAAAACUUGAGUGCAGAAGAGGAAAGUGGAAUUCCAUGUGUAGCGGUGAAAUGCGCAGAGAUGUGGAGGAACACCAGUGGCGAAGGCGACUUUCUGGUCUGUAACUGACGCUGAUGUGCGAAAGCGUGGGGAUCAAACAGGAUUAGAUACCCUGGUAGUCCACGCCGUAAACGAUGAGUGCUAAGUGUUAGGGGGUUUCCGCCCCUUAGUGCUGCAGCUAACGCAUUAAGCACUCCGCCUGGGGAGUACGACCGCAAGGUUGAAACUCAAAGGAAUUGACGGGGGCCCGCACAAGCGGUGGAGCAUGUGGUUUAAUUCGAAGCAACGCGAAGAACCUUACCAAAUCUUGACAUCCUUUGACAACUCUAGAGAUAGAGCCUUCCCCUUCGGGGGACAAAGUGACAGGUGGUGCAUGGUUGUCGUCAGCUCGUGUCGUGAGAUGUUGGGUUAAGUCCCGCAACGAGCGCAACCCUUAAGCUUAGUUGCCAUCAUUAAGUUGGGCACUCUAAGUUGACUGCCGGUGACAAACCGGAGGAAGGUGGGGAUGACGUCAAAUCAUCAUGCCCCUUAUGAUUUGGGCUACACACGUGCUACAAUGGACAAUACAAAGGGCAGCGAAACCGCGAGGUCAAGCAAAUCCCAUAAAGUUGUUCACAGUUCGGAUUGUAGUCUGCAACUCGACUACAUGAAGCUGGAAUCGCUAGUAAUCGUAGAUCAGCAUGCUACGGUGAAUACGUUCCCGGGUCU
rnacentral:rRNA from 1 species